AGCUCCAAUAGCGUAUAUUAAAGUUGCUGCAGUUAAAAAGCUCGUAGUUGGAUUUCUGGCUUGAAACAUUUGGCCGGCCACGGUUUCGUGUGUUAGUGCUUUGUGUUCUGGCCAUCCUUCCAAUCGCUAUGGUUACUCUUCAUUGAGUGGUCAGUAGUAUUGGAUCUUUUACUUUGAAAAAAUUAGAGUGUUUCAAGCAGGCUUAUGCUAUGAAUACAUUAGCAUGGAAUAAUAAUUUAGGACUUCGGUUCUAUUUUGUUGGUUUCUAGGACUGAAGUAAUGAUUGAUAGGGAUAGUUGGGGGUGCUAGUAUUCAGCGGCCAGAGGUGAAAUUCUCGGAUUCGCUGAAGACUAACUUAUGCGAAAGCAUUCACCAAGGAUGUCUUCU
rnacentral:rRNA from 1 species